UACGGAGGGAGCUAGCGUUGUUCGGAAUUACUGGGCGUAAAGCGCGCGUAGGCGGCUUUGUAAGUUAGAGGUGAAAGCCCGGGGCUCAACUCCGGAACUGCCUUUAAGACUGCAUCGCUUGAAUCCGGGAGAGGUGAGUGGAAUUUCGUGUGUAGGGGUGAAAUCCGUAGAUCUACGAAGGAACGCCAAAAGCGAAGGCAGCUCGUCUGGGUCCCUACCGACGCUGGGGUGCGAAAGCAUGGGGAGCGAACAGG
rnacentral:rRNA from 1 species